rnacentral:rRNA from 1 species
GAUGAACGCUGGCGGCGUGCUUAACACAUGCAAGUCGAACGGAAAGGCCCAAGCUUGCUUGGGUACUCGAGUGGCGAACGGGUGAGUAACACGUGGGUGAUCUGCCCUGCACUUCGGGAUAAGCCUGGGAAACUGGGUCUAAUACCGGAUAGGACCACUUCUUGGAUGUUGUGGUGGAAAGUUUUUUCGGUGUGGGAUGAGCUCGCGGCCUAUCAGCUUGUUGGUGGGGUAAUGGCCUACCAAGGCGUCGACGGGUAGCCGGCCUGAGAGGGUGUACGGCCACAUUGGGACUGAGAGACGGCCCAGACUCCUACGGGAGGCAGCAGUGGGGAAUAUUGCACAAUGGGCGCAAGCCUGAUGCAGCGACGCCGCGUGGGGGAUGACGGCCUUCGGGUUGUAAACUCCUAUCGCUAGGGACGAAGCGUUUUGUGACGGUACCUGGAGAAGAAGCACCGGCUAACUACGUG